ACGAACGCUGGCGGCAUGCCUAAUACAUGCCAGUCGAACGCUGAAGCACUCUGCUUGCAGAGUGCGGAUGAGUGGCGAACGGGUGAGUAACACGUGGGAAAUCUGCCUAUAAGAGGGGGAUAACAUUCGGAAACGGAUGCUAAUACCGCAUAUAUUCUUGGACCGCCUGGUCCUUGAAAGAAAGACGGCUUUGCUGUCGCUUAUAGAUGAUCCCGCGGCGUAUUAGUUAGUUGGUGGGGUAAAGGCCUACCAAGACAAUGAUACGUAGCCGACCUGAGAGGGUGAUCGGCCACACUGGGACUGAGACACGGCCCAGACUCCUACGGGAGGCAGCAGUAGGGAAUCUUCCACAAUGGGCGAAAGCCUGAUGGAGCAAUGCCGCGUGAAUGAAGAAGGUCUUCGGAUCGUAAAGUUCUGUUAUUAGAGAAGAACAAGUCAAGGAGUAACUGUCUUGACUUUGACGGUACCUAACCAGAAAGUCACGGCUAACUACGUG
rnacentral:rRNA from 1 species